UACGUAGGGUGCAAGCGUUGUCCGGAAUCAUUGGGCGUAAAGAGCUCGUAGGCGGUUUGUCGCGUCUGCCGUGAAAGUCCGGGGCUCAACUCCGGAUCUGCGGUGGGUACGGGCAGACUAGAGUGAUGUAGGGGAGACUGGAAUUCCUGGUGUAGCGGUGAAAUGCUUAGAUAUCGUCAAGAACACCGAUAGCGAAGGCAGCUUACUAGGCUGUAACUGACGCUGAGGCACGAAAGUGUGGGGAUCAAACAGG
rnacentral:rRNA from 1 species